UUUCAGGUUUUGCCAUUGCAGAAUCACCCAGGAAAGACCAAAUGUGCAUGAAGUCUUACUCUGAUGCUGAUUCUGAAGAACCAAACACAAACCAAUGCCAGAAGGCCAUCCUUAGUUGGGCAUUGUAUGAGAAAACUGAUUACUGAGUCGGACAUUAUGUGUGACAGGUAA